rnacentral:rRNA from 1 species
UACGAAGGGUGCAAACGUUGCUCGGAAUUACUGGGCGUAAAGCGCGUGUAGGCUGCUCUGCAAGUCGGAUGUGAAAGCCCUGGGCUCAACCUAGGAAGUGCACUCGAAACUGCAGAGCUUGAGUCUCGGAGAGGGUCGCGGAAUUCUCGGUGUAGAGGUGAAAUUCGUAGAUAUCGAGAGGAACACCGGUGGCGAAGGCGGCGACCUGGACGAUGACUGACGCUGAGACGCGAAAGCUAGGGGAGCGAACGGG